UAAUAGAUGUAUUUAGAAAUAAGACCGUUUGUUACCUCACACUAUAUGAUGGGUUACAGGUGAUCCACUACAUCCCAGCCUCUGAGAAGAGGGAUAAAGAAUCUUCUGAGUUAUUAAGGAAGUCCCUAUCAAGUUCCCCAGUGCUGGUUGAAUGUGUCCACACAUCUCCAGAAGAUAAAGACCAAGUCUUGGCUGGGCUUGAGGGUAACACCAACCCUUAUUGAACCUCUACAUUUAAAUGUCUUACUAGAACUCGAUGUAACUCUACAUGUGGGUACAAAAGAGAUUCAUUCAUGCUCGUGAUCGUUCCUUUCUGUAGGGAUGUUUAGACUGGCUAACCAAGUUCCCAUGCACACUGUGAAACUGGAGGAGUUCCUCCCAGAACUACAACGCCUGGUCUCCUACUUCCGUUUGCCCUACGACACCCAAAACAUCAGGAACACUGCAGACGAGAUGGAGCUCUUCAGCAUGAUCUCAAAGGAGUUCAGGGUGAUCUUCAGACAGCAGGAGGUGAUGAAGACCUUCCUCCAGUAUGAUGGGACAGAGGCUGUAGAGGGACAGUGGGGGACGAAGAGGAGCACCAUGGCUCUGAGGAAGAGUGCUAACUGGAUACCAUACAUUCAGGUCUGGAGAGAGAGGGAUUGUCCCGGUCUCUGUCGUGACCUCUCUCCUGUCAAUCCUUGUCCUGCAUAGUACUUGGUUUUAUAACACUUGAAGUGCUAACAAGUUAGUUCAGAGAUGAUUGGAGAAAAGGUGUCAGGAACGCUGAUAUAUAAGGGAUGUAAAUUGAGCUAGCCCUUUAUCCAGAGGCUAGUACUUUUCAGACUGGGCUAGAAGAAAAUGUGCCAAACUAGUAAAAUGUUGUAUUAGCAAAAAUGGCAUGGCACAGAUUUUGGACCUAGGCUAAAAACAAAUUGCAGCCUACUAGCCCGGCUGACCAGUGCCCAAAACCCUUAAAUCCCAUCCCUAAUGUUUAUUUUCUGACUAAACACUAACAAAACAGGUGAAGCCCAAACGGGAUCCCUGGCAACAGAAACUUGUCACCAAGCUGAAGGAGCUCCAGUCUUAUGAUGAGUUGCUGAGGACUCACUGCAGGUUUCUCCAGGUAAACAGUCUAACACCUAAAGGAGGGAUUUUAUAAAUGACCUAAUAACGUUCAUCUCUAUAGCUUGUAUCGUGUAUCGAAGUAUGGGCUAACUACAAUGACUUUCAAUCGUGUUAUUUUGCAUACUCACAGUGACACCUCUCUCUCGCUCUCUCUCUCUCUCUCUCUCUCUCUCUCUCUCUCUCUCUCGCUCUCUCCCCUCACUCUCUCCCUCCCCAGCUGUCAGAUCCUGUCGUAGUGACUGAGGCCCUGAGGGAGCAUGCUUCCCAGGUAUGUGACCCUCAGGCCAUCCAGCCCUCAUCAUCUCUGACAUCGUCACACACCAACAGACACAACACCUUGCAGAUCUGGACCAGCAUUUACAGCGCUGCCAAUCUUUAUCAGGCAUGUAUUACCUAGUCAGAGAUGUGAUUAUGUGUGCUACAAAGACAACAUGCUUUUUCAUCAUGUUAAAUGGAUUGUGUCUGGGUUCAUUCCAACCACAAUUAGCAUUUUUUUUCCCCCUGCUAGGAAUCCAGUGGAUGUGGAGGACAGGAAAAAAGCAACACAAAGAGCAGAACCACUUCAGUCAAGAAAGUAAAUGAAAGGUACAUUAUUAAGAAGGACAGAAGAGGAUCACUUGGAUGUGGGUCUCAUUGAAAUAAAACGGAAUGCCUUUUGCUUAUUUGGUGUCCCUUCUCUCUCAUUCAUCCCAGCUAUAGCUACCUGAGCAGCAUGCAGCUGUUGGGUUUGGAUGAGGGCCAGGAAGGGGAAGAGGGUACCUCGGACACCGUCACAGCCAGGGGAGCCUACCUGUCACUCCUCUACCUUCGACACCUCAAGAUCAGGGAACUGCAGGUGAGCUUCAUCCAAGGAGACUUACGUGAUUGCUGCUGGAAUUGAAACGAUGACCUUGGCAUAGCUAGAGCCACACAAGACCACAAGGGAGAUUCAGAGUAGACUUUUAGACUGUUAGGGACUGCUCUCUAUACUCUUGUCGCUCCCACUGAACCCUGAGCUGUCCUCUCUUCCCCAGUGAGUCUCUCUUGGGAUGCUGAACUGCUAUCCAUUAUCUACUGUGUCAUAUCAUUGACCCUGCCAUUCCCUCUGGAGCCUGAGCUGUCUUACCCGUCCUCUCUCCCUUAAAGCGCAUCUCCCUAGGCAUUCUAAACUACCUGAGGUCCAUAGAGAGAACCCUGACUUUUGACACAGCUGGGAUGAGUGUGGAGGGAGGAAGAGCAUGUGGAGGAGGAGCAGGAGGAGGAAGAGCAGCAGGAGGAGGAGGAGGAAGAGGGGAAGCAGGAGGAGGAGGAGGAGGUGAUUUGGUCAGCACCACUGAGGAGUCAAGCUGGAUGAAUGCGGCCAGAGGGUGCAGUGGGACAGUCGGAGGUCUUGGCUCUCACCUCUACAGCCAAAACACUCCUGUUGACUACAAGGUAAGGCAUCACAGCUACAGUACAACCUGAGACAUUAAUGACAUUAGUGAUUUGUAGGGGUGAAGAAAA
rnacentral:lncRNA from 1 species